AACUGAUACUACCUGCGGGAACCUGCGGAGGGAUCAUUAAUGAGAAACUGCCCCUCGCGGGUAGAUCUCCCACCCUUUGUAAACUUACCUUUGUUGCUUUGGCAGGCCCGUCUCCGGACCGCCGGCUUCGGCUGGCCAGUGCCUGCCAGAGGAUUCUAAAACUCUGUCUGUCAGUGUUGUCUGAGUCUAUAUACAAUCGUUAAAACUUUUAGCAAUGGAUCUCUAGAUCGGAAGAGCACA
rnacentral:misc_RNA from 1 species